rnacentral:rRNA from 1 species
UACGUAGGGGGCAAGCGUUGUCCGGAAUCAUUGGGCGUAAAGAGCGCGUAGGCGGCCCUGUAAGUCCGCUGUGAAAGUCAAGGGCUCAACCCUUGAAUGCCGGUGGAUACUGCAGGGCUAGAGUCCGGAAGAGGCGAGUGGAAUUCCUGGUGUAGCGGUGAAAUGCGCAGAUAUCAGGAGGAACACCGAUGGCGAAGGCAGCUCGCUGGGACGGUACUGACGCUGAGGCGGACGAAAGGCGUGGGGAGCAAACAGG